ACACUUUAUUUGAAGGGGUGUGCAUAAGACUGACAUGACACUGUCAUAAGCAUGACAUAACACCUGUCAUGAACAUGAAGGAGUCUUUAUGAAUGUUUAUGACUGUUGUCAUUAAGUGUCAUUCGGUAAAUUAUGACACUUUUAAUGCAAAGUUGACAUUGUUUAAAAUGUCUUUGUUAUGACAACUUGACAUUAACCAAUAAAUCAUAACCUGUCAACCUGUCACAAAUAUGUCAUAACAGGUCUAAUUAUCAAACUUAAAGAAGUUAUUUAGCUUUGCGUUGACAUUACAUUACCCUGUCAUAUGUGGUUGGUUUUGACUUUGGCCGUCAUGACACCAUUAUAACUGUCAUGAAUAUUUUACUUGUCCUCAAGUAAAGUGGAACACAUUGUACUAGUUAUGAUUUCUUGGUUAAUGUCAAGUUGUCAUAACAAAGACAUUUCUGUCUUUGUUAAUGUCAAGUUGUCAUAAUCAAGACAUUUUUGUCUUGGUUAAUGUCAAGUUGUUAUAACAAAGACAUUUUAAACAAUGUCAACUUUGCAUUAAAAGUGUCAUAAUUUACCGAAUGACACUUAAUGACAACAGUCAUAAACAUUCAUAAAGACUCCUUCAUGUUCA